GACCAUUAUUCCGUGCAGCUCCUACAUACUGAUAUUCCAGAGGCUUUUUCAGGCGUUACCUUACCUGCCGACGGAGAUAGAGACUGUGGUCUUCCAAACAACUGGAGAACUCAAGCAGAAUGGAGCAAGAGACUGUUCACUUCCUGAACCGCCAACAGUACCUGAACCUCCAACA